GGGUGCGAUCAUACCAGCACUAAUGCACCGGAUCCCAUCAGAACUUCGCAGUGAAGCGUGCUUGGGCGAGAGUAGUACUAGGAUGGGUGACCUCCUGGGAAGUCCUCGUGUUGCCUACC
rnacentral:rRNA from 1 species